AAAAACAUGUCUAUUUGAUGCUAUAAAUAGUCGGGCCUGCUCACUGAUAAAUUUUAUUUAAGAGCCGCGGUAUUUUGACCGUGCAAAGGUAGCAUAAUCAUUAGUUUUUUAAUUGAAAACUUGUAUGAAAGGUUGGACAAAGAAAAAGCUGUCUGUAUUAUAAAUUUGAAUUUAACUUUUAAGUGAAAAGGCUUAAAAUAUUUCAGAGGGACGAUAAGACCCUAUAAAGCUUUAUAUGUUGGUUAAAUUUUACUAAAUUAUUAUUAAUAAAAGUUUAAUUUAAGUAUUAUAUUUUGUUGGGGCGAUAAAGAUAUAAAUUUAAUAACUGUUUGUUUUAUAAACAAUAAUGAUUGAGUCAUAAAUAAAUGAUCCUUUUUAAUGAUUAAAAGAUCAAGUUACUUUAGGGAUAACAGCGUUAUUUCUUUUAAGAGUUCAUAUCGAAAAAGAAGUUUGCGACCUCGAUGUUGAAUUAAAUUGUCUAUAUGGUGUAGCCGUUAUAUAAGAAGGUCUGUUCGACCUUUAAAUUUUUACAUGAUUUGAGUUCAAACCGGCGUAAGCCAGG
rnacentral:rRNA from 1 species